rnacentral:rRNA from 1 species
ACCCGCUGAAUUUAAGCAUAUCACUAAGCGGAGGAAAAGAAACUAACCAGGAUUCCCCUAGUAACGGCGAGUGAAGAGGGAAGAGCCCAGCACCGAAGCCUGCGGUAGUUUUACUGUUAGGCAUUGUGGUGUUUGGGCUGGCUCGUGGGAUUGCCGCUCCACUCGAAGUCCAGCAUUGAGUAUGGUUUCUGGAUUUGGCCCAGAGAGGGUGAGAGGCCCGUGCGGGUGGAGUUUCAGACAUGAUUGGCAGUUCACCAGGCCAGCCUUAGAGUCGGGUUGUUUGAGAAUGCAGCCCAAAGUGGGUGGUAAACUCCAUCCAAGGCUAAAUACUAGCACGAGUCCGAUAGCGAACAAGUACCGUGAGGGAAAGUUGAAAAGUACUUUGAAGAGAGAGUAAACAGUACGUGAAACCGCAUGAAGGUAAACGGGUGGCGUCAAGCUGCAAGCCGAGAGAAUUCAGUCGGUCAGGUUGUUACAUGUGCCUAGCGCAUUUAUCAGUCGGUUGGACUAGUCUGUGCGUCAAAUACAGACCUGCUCGCAGGAUUUGCUGUCCACUUUGGUUGGUGGAGCAAACUGGUUCAACUACUGGAUUGUCUGAUCGAUGCACUUUCUCUAUGGUGGACACCACGACCGGUGGUACUGCCAGUCUGCUUUGGUCAAGUCCUUGUUACCUUUUUAAGGCAGCUUGGAUCACAUGCAAUUUAGUGCACGGUGCCUAGGCGUUUCGGCGAUUGGGCAUGUUAUCGGACACUGGUUGUAAACGGGCUGUGUGCGAUGCUUGUAAAGUGUUGCGUGCGUCUGGUGGACCUUGGUGGUAUGAAUAACUGUGCAGGGCACCGUUGUUAUCGGUCUCUAAUCUGGUGACUGCCCACUUUACAAGUGGUUGUGUAGGCGUUGUCCGGGUUUGCCUGUGCUUCGAUCUGAUUGUCGUGUUGCCCGCACAAAGUGGGCCCGGCUUUGGUCUGGUGCAGGAUGAGCUUGUGGCGGCGCUUGCCGUGGUUGCUAGUGUGGACCUAACAGUCUGUGGUGUAGUGGUAGACGAGCUACCCGACCCGUCUUGAAACACGGACCAAGGAGUUUAACAUGCGCGCAAGUCGUAGGGUCUUACGAAACCCGAAGGCGCAGUGAAAGUGAAGCCUCGUCUUGUCGCGGGGUGUGGUGAGAUCCUGUUGUUACUCGCAUUGUCUUGUGUGUCAACACUAGGCCAAGAGCAAUGGGCGCAUCACCGGCCCGUCCCAUGAUGUGGUCGUCAGCUUCGGUUGGCGCGUCAUCGGGGCGGAGCAUGAGCGUGCAUGUUAUGACCCGAAAGAUGGUGAACUAUGCUUGCGUAGGUUGAAGCCAGAGGAAACUCUGGUGGAGGACCGCAGCGAUUCUGACGUGCAAAUCGAUCGUCAAACGUGAGUAUAGGGGCGAAAGACUAAUCGAACCAUCUAGUAGCUGGUUCCCUCCGAAGUUUCCCUCAGGAUAGC